GGAGAGGUGGCUGAGUGGUCUAAAGCACCGGUUUCGAAAACCGGCGUGCCGCAAGGUACCGUGGGUUCGAAUCCCACCCUCUCCGCCA
rnacentral:tRNA from 1 species